ACCCCUGUCUCUCAUCUAAUUUUAAUGAAUCUUAAUAUUUUUCCAAAUUUACUUUAGAAGUUUUUUAUUUUUAUUUUUGGUAUUUUUGUUUCAAAUUUGAAUGUAAAUUCUAGUAAGUUACCAUAUAGUCUAACAUUGGUUUCAGGAGUAGAAUUCAGUGAUUCAUCACUUACAUACAACACCCAGUGCACAUCGCAAGUGCCUUCCUUAGUACCCAUCGCCCACCUAGCUCAUCUCCCAUCCUCCUCCCUC